rfam:Felis catus isolate Cinnamon breed Abyssinian chromosome A1, whole genome shotgun sequence.
UAGUGCACGGGGCUAUAAUUUAUGAAACUGAGCCCCAGAUCCAGCCAAUCACUUAGCUCCUCAUAACAAGUCUAACUGGCUCUGGAAAGCUGAAAGGACUGCACUAGAACAACAAAGAUGAGAUAUUCCACACAAUAAUGUGCUUAUGUGGAAUCACAUUUCCCUGCAAGGCCAGAGAAAAAUCACAGCUUCGCUGUCGGAGGGAAGGAGAACAGAUGACCUGGAAGAAUGUGACUAGAUAUGGAGCAA